CCUACGGGUGGCAGCAGUGGGGAAUAUUGGACAAUGGGGGGAACCCUGAUCCAGCGACGCCGCGUGAGGGAGGAAGUAUUUCGGUAUGUAAAGCUCUAUCAGCAGGGAAGAAAGAAAUGACGGUACCUGCCUAAGAAGCCCAGGCUAACUACGUGCCAGCAGCCGCGGUAAUACGCAGGGGGCAAGCGUGAUCCGGAUUUACUGGGUGUAAAGGGAGCGUAGACGGUUACGCAGGUCUGGAGUGAAAGGCGGGGGCCCAACCCCCGGACUGGUUUGGAAACUGUAUACCGGGAGUGCAGGAGAGGUAAGUGGAAUGCCUAGUGUAGCGGUGAAAUGCGUAGAUAUUAGGAGGAAAACCAGUGGCGAAGGCGGCUUACUGGACUGUAACUGACGUUGAGGCUCGAAAGCGUGGGGAGCAAACAGGAUUAGAUACCCGGGUAGUC
rnacentral:rRNA from 1 species